UCUCAGAGAAGACUCCCAGCUCUCUUGUGGACCGUUGGCUGCUUCCUGAGUCCUCAGGCCUGACACACACAAACUUUGUUUAGAAAGGGCGAGAAUGCCAUGUCGCUCCAUCUCCAUUCUACCUUCCCUUCGUUCCUCAUUUUAAGAGCUACUGUCAGAGAGAAGACAGAUCUGUUUUCUCCUACUCAGAAGGAGCGGAGUGAAAUCCAAGUCCUCUAAGAAAGAGACGGAAUGCUGUUCUACCUCACUAUUCACUCCUACUUCAAACUUUAACUUUUGGACUCACAUCAUUUUGAGAAUGUUAAACCAUUUUUCAAAGACAGCCUCCCAAGAGGUAGGUGAGGAUUAGUUCCAGUUUAAGCAACGUUUAAACA